UUCACGAAAAACAGACAACCUUCUGGAUGCUGUUGUCAUAUUGUGAUGAGGCUCUGUCUGUUUGGCAAUACAACGACACUCCAGAUGUACAUUUCCCUAAAUUAAAACCAUCUAUUUACAGACAUACAAAGGGAAAAUAAACCUCACUCGGCUGCAGACUUCUUAGUAGCUACUCUCUCCUUUGAUAGGACCCGGGCUCCCCUCUCUGUUUAUGGCUGACAAUAAGGCGCAGUUGGCGGAGUGGCUGCCUCCACAGUCCUGAGGAGCGUGAGGCGGAGGCCGUCCCAGAGCACACGGGACUUUUCCUUCUCCUUGUUCUUCCCUGUGCUUUGGCCCUUGCAGAGCACCCUAUGAACAAGGAGCAGACCCCUUUUCCUCACAUCACUUGCAAUAGGGGCAAGUCUUCAGUAUUACGAGAAGCCCGAACCCAACAUUUCUUAUCAUCCCCCUCUGAGAUGAAUAAAUCAAGGCACAGAGAAGUUACGGGACUUGGCCAAGGAGAGAUACAGGUGGUGGAACAGAGAUUCAAACUCAGAUGUGUAUAUAGCGUGUGUGCCAGGAGCAAUUCUAAGAGCGUGAUUCUCCCAAGGACCCGAAGAGGUAGUUAUUGCUAUUAUCUACCUUGUAUAAAUAAGGAAAGAGAAGCCCACAGCUCAGUACUAACUGGUGGAGUGCAUCCCUCUAUGACCUUGGUGUAGAAGACUGUUAUAAAGCCUUACGGAUCCCAAAUAUAUCACAGCUGACUUCAUUAUGGUUUUCAAAUUAUUUAGUAAAUUGCUUCAGUUUUAUUACCUCUGUAAAAUUUGCCUUACUGUAACUACAAUAAAGUCUUGGCCUCCUUUCCCUGUUCUAAUUCUAAUUCCUUUCAGUUAUGUGUACUCUAUUUCCUAUGAAUCAGACUGAGAGAACCAGAAAAUCCACCACUAUUCAGAGAGUGCCA
rnacentral:lncRNA from 1 species